rnacentral:rRNA from 1 species
UACGGAGGGGGUUAGCGUUGUUUCGGAAUUACUGGGCGUAAAGCGUGCGCAGGCGGUUUUGUAAGCCAGAUGUGAAAGCCCCGGGCUUAACCUGGGAAUGGCAUUUGGGACUGCAAGGCUGGAGUUUGGCAGAGGAGACUGGAAUUCCUGGUGUAGCAGUGAAAUGCGUAGAUAUCAGGAGGAAUACCGAUGGCGAAGGCAGGUCGUCUGGGCUAUAACUGACGCUCAUGACACGAA